AAAAAGGAAAUUAUAGGUGGCUGUAGGAGUAUAACCUUAUAAUUGUUGCUCUUAUGGCAGUUGGAGGUAGAAGGAGUAUAUAUAAUCUUAUUGUCUUUUCCAUGUGGUGGUGGUUUAUUUAUGACCUAUUGAUAACUCCCAGCCAGCAGCAGAAAACUCGGAAAUUGAUUAUUCUCUGAAAAUUCUCCACAAUCCAUGUGUCACAUUUGGUCUUCAUUAAAGAGUAACUGAAAAGAACUUGCACGUUGAUGAUUUUGCUGCUUAAAAUAGUUCCAUCCAAGGACUGCUCUUUACUUUUGGACAGAAAAUAUCU